GAUGAACGCUGGCGGCGUGCCUAAUACAUGCAAGUCGAGCGAACAGAUGAGGAGCUUGCUCCUCUGACGUUAGCGGCGGACGGGUGAGUAACACGUGGAUAACCUACCUAUAAGACUGGGAUAACUUCGGGAAACCGGAGCUAAUACCGGAUAAUAUAUUGAACCGCAUGGUUCAAUAGUGAAAGACGGUUUUGCUGUCACUUAUAGAUGGAUCCGCGCCGCAUUAGCUAGUUGGUAAGGUAACGGCUUACCAAGGCAACGAUGCGUAGCCGACCUGAGAGGGUGAUCAGCCACACUGGAACUGAGACACGGUCCAGACUCCUACGGGAGGCAGCAGUAGGGAAUAUUGCGCAAUGGGCGAAAGCCUGACGGAGCAAUGCCGCGUGAGUGAUGAAGGCCUUCGGAUCGUAAAACUCUGUUAUUAGGGAAGAACAAAUGUGUAAGUAACCAUGCCCGUCUUGACGGUACCUAAUCAGAAAGCCACGGCUAACUACGUG
rnacentral:rRNA from 1 species